UACGGAAUAUUGCGCAAUGGGCGAAAGCCUGACGCAGCGACGCCGCGUGGGGGAUGAAGGUCUUCGGAUUGUAAACCCCUUUCGGGAGGGAAGAUGGGAUGGGGUAACCCAUUCGGACGGUGCCUCCAGAAGCAGCCACGGCUAACUUCGUGCCAGCAGCCGCGGUAAUACGAAGGUGGCAAGCGUUGUUCGGAUUUACUGGGCGUACAGGGAGCGUAGGCGGUUGGGUAAGCCCUCCGUGAAAUCUCCAGGCUUAACCUGGAAAGUGCAGAGGGGACUGCUCAGCUAGAGGAUGGGAGAGGAGCGCGGAAUUCCCGGUGUAGCGGUGAAAUGCGUAGAGAUCGGGAGGAAGGCCGGUGGCGAAGGCGGCGCUCUGGAACAUUUCUGACGCUGAGGCUCGAAAGCGUGGGGAGCAAACAGGAUUAGAUACCCUGGUAGCCCACGCCUUAAACGAUGGAUACUAAGUGUCGGCGGGUUACCGCCGGUGCCGCAGCUAACGCAGUAAGUAUCCCGCCUGGGAAGUACGGCCGCAAGGUUGC
rnacentral:rRNA from 1 species